CUUUCAAGUUUUUAUCUUUUUCGAGCACUACAUCAACAAACUUCACACCCGUUGUUGUUUUCGAUGGAAAAGUGAACCCGUAAAGUGCUAGAGGCUUGAAGAACCGCAGCACGCCAUGAUCCACAAAACGACGGGCUCAAACAGCGAAUCCUUUUACUACACUGCGGAACCCCAUCAACCGACUCGCAAUCAACUGUAGAGCACAGAUUCUGCGGCCAAGAUCCGGGUGUCGCGAUAGCAAGCUAUCGGAAACCGCUCCGUUACCAAAUGGACCGAAAAGAUGGACCAAAUGGACCUCAUCGGACAAGCUCACGUCCUGUACAUACGGAUCCGUGUAGGAUCAAAUAUCUUCCAUCAAACUAGAUAGAUUCGAAUAACUUUUACGGCGCCCAGACAUCACGUCUAGUCUCCUAGAUGACCAUAUCUAACAGGGUUAGAGCGCUACAAAUUAUUUGCCUCUAACAAUAUUGGGCAAAUUUUGACAUGCCUCUUGGAUAUUAUGUGGAGCUAGUAAACAUUUUCCCCGAUUGACCCUGGCCAGUUUUAUAUGUUAGCGGCUGCGGCGUUGUUGGAAAAGAAGCGAAUAGCAUUGAAACAAAAUAUUUCACAGCCGACGGCAGAUAGUGACAGAGAAGAACAAGAAAUCGGCAAGCGAUAUGGACCCUUCGAAGACAAACGCUAGUAGCUCAGCAGUGGCAGCAGUAGGCACAGCAGCAUCAACGGGCCCAACAGACGCCACCAGUGCCGCACAAAAGCAUCGUUCGCUCGCUAUGUUUACGGCAGACAAUACUAUGCAAGAGCGGCGCUCACAGCUACUUAACAAUCCGUUACUAUCCGACGUAAAGUUCUUAGUCGGCGAGUCGCGGACGCCUAUCUACGGCCACAAGGUAAUGCUGGCCACUGCGUCGGAGUACUUUUAUGUGCUCCUGUGCGGUGACUUUGCUGAAUCGCAGAAGCGCGAGAUACCGCUGGAGCAGGUGGAUCCGGAAGAAUUUCUCCAGCUGCUCCGGUUCAUCUAUUGUGACGAGUUUGAGAUUACGUUCGAAAACCUACAGACCCUGUACGAUCUAUCGCGUCGGUUCAUGGUGACGGACCUGCAAGUUGCUCUGCGGAAGUUCUUGGAAGACCAGAUCUGCCAGAAAAAUGCCCUGGAAAUCAUGCAGAUAAACCGCCUGUUAGCUUUCAGCUCAAUCGACGAGACCUGCCUACGCAUGAUUAGCAACAAUCCGUUGUUUUUCUUUAAUAAUGAAGACUUCACCAUGAUCGACAAGGAAAUGCUGGUGACGAUUUUCCGUUGCCAGCGCAUCAAUUGCACUGACGAUCAGCUGGCGAGUGCGCUCGACGUAUGGUUGCAGCACAAUACCACUGCGGAAGAGGAUGCCCGGCAGCUGCAUGAUCUGAUACAAACCGGCAAGCGCAGCUUCGACUGCCUCAAGCUGCACCUGUUCGGUAACAGGCAAGUUUUGCCAGGCGAAGAUGUAGGCGACUUUAUCUUCACAAUCGACUCGGACACUCACAUCUCGCUGUACGGCAUUGGGGUGUAUGUGCAGUCCAAUGCGGCAGUGGUGAACUUUGACGUGAAGGUGUACGAAUUCCAAACGGAAAUCGGUAAUGACCAAUAUGAAUACGAAAAUAAGCAAUGCGGCGUGGUGAAUGUGGCGGAUCUGUUUUUCGAGGAGCUCCGCAUGGUGCCGCGCAUCAAGUACCGAAUUUCGGUAGAUGUGGCGCCACCGUUGUACAAUCAAGCGUUUGUGUUGCAAUAUCCGUGCACACACCAUACCUCCAUCAAGCUGAGCAUCAGCGGACCACUCAGCGGUAUCGAUCCGGUUGGGCUUGCAUAUCUCUACUGCAAAGAGCAUCCCUAUAAUGAAUGAACAUAAGUGAGCAUACGUUUUUUUUUAAACCAAACCAAACAAAUCUCACCUUAGCAAUAAAACAUAACCGAUGCCAGUAUUAAUGCUGGAUUUUGACAUUACACAAAACGGGUUUGGUACGGUGGCCGCUUGUGGUUUUUAAUUUUUUCUGAGGAUCCUAUUUGCAGCUCUCCGAUACCGAUACUAUCUGGACAUAGUGAAGGGAAGGUUUCGCCACACUGUUCCGGAUGCCGCAUGCGCGCCUACUUUACCAGUGCACCGGAGCUAAUACAUGGCCGCUUCAUCGGGCAUAGCGUUCCCGUCUCACACGAUGCCACCUGCCUUGACCUCCUGAACUCCUGUUACCGGAUUGCCGGAUGCCGGGAUGGUGAUUUUAAAGAGAGAAGCGACGUUGUUCAGGGAAAUAGAAAAGAAUCAUCUAAACCAAAUCGUUUCUAUGGCAAGAAUGGUACAGCUAAACCGAAGGAAAUGGAAACAUUAGAGAAGGCUAUAGAUGAGGCAAAAUCGCUCGUAUUUGGGGCUCUAUUUGGGUGCGUAAAUGCGGCUCGAAAUUCGGCCUCGGCCGGACCAACGUAUAUCUUGUUUUCCAAGUUGAAGCGGCACACUUUACAAUGCCUUGGUUUUGCAUUGUUAGGUGGAAAUCGCUUAUUUCGGAAUCCUUUUUUUUGCGAAUAUAAAUUCUCCGGAUGUUGAGAAUCAUUUGCCUGAAAUUCAUAUCCUAUCAUUAUUCCUCCUAAGGCGGUGCAAUCUGAUUGAGCACCGCGAGUGGUUACACGGGUGAUCCUCGAAGGUGGCGAGAACAGCGAAAAGAGCUAGAGAAAAAAAAACAAAAGUCAAGGUUCGCGCAGAGCGAGAAAGAAACAAAAAUCCGCCUAAGGAGAAAGGGAGACAACUCUUGCAACACUUCGUGAGUAGCAAAAGUCCACGAGGAUUCCCGCUCAAUUGAUCCUUCAUCCACAUUGCAGGGCAAGUUUUAUAUUGCAGGGCUGUGUGCAUGGUUCAGGUUCAGAAGCAGAAAACAUCCCUGAUUGUUCCUGGUCAGUUUUAUAUGUUUGUGGUUGCGGCGUUGUUGGAAAGGAAGCGAAUAGCGGGCAAGCAGCAUUGAAACAAAAUAUUUUACAGCCGACGGCAGAUAGUGACAGAGA